rnacentral:rRNA from 1 species
AGCGAACGCUGGCGGCAGGCCUAACACAUGCAAGUCGAACGAAGUCUUCGGACUUAGUGGCGGACGGGUGAGUAACACGUGGGAACGUGCCUUUAGGCUCGGAAUAACUCAGGGAAACUUGUGCUAAUACCGAAUGUGCCCUUCGGGGGAAAGAUUUAUCGCCUUUAGAGCGGCCCGCGUCUGAUUAGCUAGUUGGUGAGGUAAAGGCUCACCAAGGCUACGAUCAGUAGCUGGUCUGAGAGGAUGACCAGCCACAUUGGGACCGAGACACGGCCCAAACUCCUACGGGAGGCAGCAGUGGGGAAUCUUGCGCAAUGGGCGAAAGCCUGACGCAGCCAUGCCGCGUGGAUGAUGAAGGUCUUAGGAUUGUAAAAUCCUUUCACCGGUGAAGAUAAUGACUGUAGCCGGAGAAGAAGCCCCGGCUAACUUCGUGCCAGCCGCCGCGGUAACAC